rnacentral:rRNA from 1 species
GAGUUUGAUCUUGGCUCAGAACGAACGCUGGCGGCAGGCUUAACACAUGCAAGUCGAACGCUCGUAGCAAUACGGGAGUGGCAGACGGGUGAGUAACGCGUGGGAACAUACCCUCCGGUUCGGAAUAGCUCAGGGAAACUUGGAUUAAUACCGAAUACGGCUGAGAGGCGAAAGAUUUAUCGCCGGAGGAUUGGCCCGCGUUCGAUUAGCUUGUUGGUGAGGUAACGGCUCACCAAGGCGAUGAUCGAUAGCUGGUCUGAGAGGAUGAUCAGCCACAUUGGGACUGAGACACGGCCCAAACUCCUACGGGAGGCAGCAGUGGGGAAUAUUGGACAAUGGGCGCAAGCCUGAUCCAGCCAUGCCGCGUGAGUGAUGACGGCCUUAGGGUUGUAAAGCUCUUUCGCUCGGGACGAUAAUGACGGUACCGAGAUAAGAAGCCCCGGCUAACUUCGUGCCAGCAGCCG